CAACGCCGCGUGAGGGAGGAAGGCCUGUGGGUUGUAAACCUCUUUUCUCAGGGAAGAAGUACUGACGGUACCUGAGGAAUCAGCAUCGGCUAACUCCGUGCCAGCAGCCGCGGUAAGACGGAGGAUGCAAGCGUUAUCCGGAAUUAUUGGGCGUAAAGCGUCCGUAGGCGGUUCAGAAAGUCUGCUGUUAAAGCGUGUAGCUCAACUACAUAUAGGCGGUGGAAACUACAAAACUUGAGUGCGUUCGGGGUAGAGGGAAUUCCUGGUGUAGCGGUGAAAUGCGUAGAGAUCAGGAAGAACACCGGUGGCGAAGGCGCUCUACUAGACCGCAACUGACACUGAGGGACGAAAGCUAGGGGAGCGAAUGGGAUUAGAUACCCCAGUAGUC
rnacentral:rRNA from 1 species